UAGGAUGCUUUGAGGAGUGACUUGAUGGUAAUCUCGGGACCCAAAACGGCGAGUUUAAAGUCGAAGCUAAAAGUAUCGUAUCGCAGGAAGAAUUCCACCAGGUAUAGCCUGCACAGGAGCACCACCAGAUUCUUGGCCGGGCACUGUUUAUUAUCCGGUGUGGGCUCCUCCGUCUCGCGUGCAUUGGACCACAGCACGUGAUUCAACAACUUCUCUCCAUCAGGCCCCACGAACCUGUUGGCAACAAACUCCUCCGGUUUCUCAAAUAUCUUAGGAUCU
rnacentral:lncRNA from 1 species